rnacentral:rRNA from 1 species
GAUGAACGCUGGCGGCGUGCCUAAUACAUGCAAGUCGAGCGAAUGGAUUAAGAGCUUGCUCUUAUGAAGUAGCGGCGGACGGGUGAGUAACACGUGGGUAACCUGCCCAUAAGACUGGGAUAACUCCGGGAAACCGGGGCUAAUACCGGCUAACAUUUUGAACCGCAUGGUUCGAAAUUGAAAGGCGGCUUCGGCUGUCACUUAUGGAUGGACCCGCGUCGAAUUAGCUAGUUGGUGAGGUAACGGCUCACCAAGGCAACGAUGCGUAGCCGACCUGAGAGGGUGAUCGGCCACACUGGGACUGAGACACGGCCCAGACUCCUACGGGAGGCAGCAGUAGGGAAUCUUCCGCAAUGGACGAAAGUCUGACGGAGCAACGCCGCGUGAGUGAUGAAGGCUUUCGGGUCGUAAAACUCUGUUGUUAGGGAAGAACAAGUGCUAGUUGAAUAAGCUGGCACCUUGACGGUACCUAACCAGAAAGCCACGGCUAACUACGUGCCAGCCGCCGCGGUAA